GAGUUUGAUCCUGGCUCAGGACGAACGCUGGCGGCGUGCUUAACACAUGCAAGUCGAACGGAAAGGCCCCGCUUGCGGGGUACUCGAGUGGCGAACGGGUGAGUAACACGUGGGUGAUCUGCCCUGCACUUCGGGAUAAGCCUGGGAAACUGGGUCUAAUACCGGAUAUGACCUCCCUUUAGUGUGGGGGGUGGAAAGAUUUAUCGGUGCAGGAUGAGCCCGCGGCCUAUCAGCUUGUUGGUGGGGUAAUGGCCUACCAAGGCGUCGACGGGCAGCCGGCCUGAGAGGGUGGACGGCCACAUUGGGACUGAGAUACGGCCCAGACUCCUACGGGAGGCAGCAGUGGGGAAUAUUGCACAAUGGGCGGAAGCCUGAUGCAGCGACGCCGCGUGGGGGAUGACGGCCUUCGGGUUGUAAACCUCUUUCGACAGGGACGAAGUGAAAAUGACGGUACCUGUAUAAGAAGCACCGGCUAACUACGUGCCAGCAGCCGCGGUAAUACGUAGGGUGCGAGCGUUGUCCGGAAUUACUAGGCGUAAAGAGCUCGUAGGUGGUUUGUCACGUCGUCUGUGAAAUUCCGGGGCUUAACCUCGGGCGUGCAGGCGAUACGGGCAAUACUUGAGUGCUGUAGGGGAGACUGGAAUUCCUGGUGUAGCGGUGAAAUGCGCAGAUAUCAGGAGGAACACAAUGGCGAAGGCAGGUCUCUGGGCAGUUACUGACGCUGAGGAGCGAAAGCAUGGGUAGCGAACAGGAUUAGAUACCCUGGUAGUCCAUGCCGUANACGGUGGGCGCUAGGUGUAGGGGACUUCCACGUUCUCUGUGCCGUAGCUAACGCAUUAAGCGCCCCGCCUGGGGAGUACGGCCGCAAGGCUAAAACUCAAAGGAAUUGACGGGGGCCCGCACAAGCGGCGGAGCAUGUGGAUUAAUUCGAUGCAACGCGAAGAACCUUACCUGGGCUUGACAUACACCGGACCGGCGUAGAGAUACGUCUUCCCUUGUGGCCGGUGUACAGGUGGUGCAUGGUUGUCGUCAGCUCGUGUCGUGAGAUGUUGGGUUAAGUCCCGCAACGAGCGCAACCCUUGUCUUAUGUUGCCAGCACGUGAUGGUGGGGACUCAUGAGAGACUGCCGGGGUCAACUCGGAGGAAGGUGGGGAUGACGUCAAAUCAUCAUGCCCCUUAUGUCCAGGGCUUCACACAUGCUACAAUGGUCGGUACAGCAGGUCGCGAACUCGUGAGAGUAAGCCAAUCCUUCAAAGCCGGCCUCAGUUCGGAUUGGGGUCUGCAACUCGACCCCAUGAAGUCGGAGUCGCUAGUAAUCGCAGAUCAGCAACGCUGCGGAGAAUACGUUGCCGGGCCUUGACACACCGCCCGUCA
rnacentral:rRNA from 1 species